CAUGUUUGAAUAUUCCUUUCUGAAACAAGGUUGUAUCGACCAGCCGUGCGAUUCUCUAAAAUUCAAACAAGAACUCGCAUCUCACUACGAAAUUCUCCAUCACUUCGCAUUCGCAAUAGAAUGACCUUGAUUUGGCAUUCUGUAAACACUAAUCUUAAUUACCCUGCCUCGAGCGAAGUGAAGUGACAACGAAGUUUGUUUACAAUACUACUAGGGAUAGCCGUAUACACGCAAAUGUAAAUCGAAGCUUACCGGUUUCAGUUUUUCUUUGUAUUUAGAAGCAUUCUGUAAGAAAAUACUAUGAAUUUAAGCUUUGGUGUCUAAACCACAUCUAAUAUAUCUAAAAAGAAAAUUAAAAGUCAUAUAUUUAUGAAAUUAAUUGUAAUUUCUGGCUGUACGCUAAGUUCCUUUGCGUGCACUGGCGAAUUCCAGAAUUAAAAAACAAAAUUUUAAUUGUUUUCAAAACAAUUUCGAGCGGUCGGAAGUUUUUAUUUUGCUUUUUCUAGAUUUGUUGAUACUUUGUGAGUGAAUUUAACGUUAAAUAAAAAUUAUGAGAUUUAAAGAGCGUUCUUCUCAUCCGACAUUGGCGCAAAUAGAGGCAUUGAUAAACGUUUUGGGUUAAAAGCUAGCGAAACAAAAGGAUUAAUCGAAUCUCAACAUGUUCAAUAAGAGAACAAGGAUAUUAGAAAAAUAUAGGAACUAAAUUCUCUUGUCAGUUAAGAUCCAUUCCCGGUGAGAUAUUUAGGACAUGUUAACAUAUAUUUAUGUAUGAUAUAUCUAUCUACUACGUUUUUAUUGAUGUUCUAUUUUAACAGGGCAUGAAGGUAAUUUAUUUGUAUCUCAAAUUCACCAACAAAAAAAUUAUUUUGAAUUAAAUAAAUCAAAUCAUUAACAAUUUAGGUAUUGCAAGUUAGAUUGAUGUUGUUGGAAUGUAUUUAUUGAUGCAGAGGUGACUGUAUCUAUGGUAAAGGGUGUGCAUACUGGUACAGGGGUGGCAGGCAGUGCCAGAGUAUUGACUAAACUGACAUUAUGUUGGCUAAAGGCUGCAUACUCAGUUUAAAAUAAAUGAACAAAAUUUAGGCAUAACCUAUUUUAUUAUAUUUAAGGAACUACAACAGAUUGAAAAUACUAAUCCACAUCAUCAGAAUAUUGUAAGGAGAAUUUAUAGCCAACUCGGAAAAUGUAUCAGUAUUGGAACAAUCGCAAACAUACAGCAUUGCAUCAAGAAUCACCUAUUUUGCAGUCAUCAUCCUCUAACUAAAUGCAAGUAACUUCUACUUAUUGUGAUGCUACUACUAGUAGCUCCAGCCACAGUAGGUCUCACAUGUUAGUCAAGAGAUUGGGUUGAUAUGUGUUUAUUCAGGUCAAAGUACCUAUUCAUUGAACCACCAUAUUAGGGACAUUGAUUUGUGUAUAAUGCUGUUACUUGUAAAUAAAAACAUUUUGUUGCAUGUAUUGUAAACAUUGUAUUUUACCUAACCUUGUUUUUAAAUAAAUUUAUUAUUUUUUUCAGCACCUCAACACCUGACCUGCUAUUUCACCACUUUUACAAUGAAAAGCAGAGUGUACUCAAAUUACUGAGAGAAUUUUGUGGAUAGAGGAACUGCAGGUGAAGAUUCAGGGUGUUCAUAUGUGUGUCGUCCAAAGCAUUUUUGAACACAGUACCAUAUAUAACUUAAUGAAACUUACAACCAUGGGGGAAUGAACAGUCGACAAUCUGCAAGAAGGAUGAACUGUUGGUGGAAUUAGCACAUGCAGCUAGCAAUUUUAAACCUGUAUUUCCACAUAAGUUACUGAUGCAAACAAAUUUCAAAAUUAUUGUAUAUAACUAUUGAAUAAAACUAUAAUAAAACUAUUUUUAUAAA